rnacentral:lncRNA from 1 species
CCUGGGUACACACUGCUAACCACAGACCCUGGGCUUCAUGGAACAGUGUGGUUUUCAGAGGGCCUUCUCUGGGUUGUGUUUGAACUCUACAUCACCCUGGAAGAUAGGGAGGCUGCACAGACAUCGCUAGUCCUGGUUUUACAACUGUGUUGGUGCUUGCCUGUCCAAAAGCCCUUCACUGUAAAGGCCCUACACAGCUAAUACCUGAAGAAUUCAGGUGAAAAGAAUAGCAAGGCAUGGGUAUUCUGGAACAUUCCCUUGUGAUCUCUCGUGGACCCAUCUCAAAUGUACCAAUUCUCCACGACUUAUCUGUAGAGUUAACUCACAGCUGAUAGGUGAGCCAGUGUUACAAAACAGAUGGCAAGGGUGCUUUCCACCAGGAAGAAUCCGAAUCAUUCAGAUAGCUGCUGACCUUGCUGCAAAUAUGGGCUGUCUCCUUGUGCUUCGUGAUAAAGCUCUACUGGUGACUGUUUCUGUCUGUGUGGGCAAUGUUCUACAUCACUACUAGUUACAUCCUCUUCAGAGCUACCUGGAAACCACUUUCAGGGCAAACACCACGAGCCCUCAUCCAGUGGCUGAUGGAAGCAGAGACAGACAUCCACAGAAAUACACUGAGCUGAAAUCUGGAAUUUAGUUGAAGAGAGGGAAGAAUGAAGAACGAAGGGGUCUGUACCAGGUUGGAGAAACCCACAGAAACAGUUGGCCUGAACAAGGGAGAGCACAUCGACCCCAGAUGCUAUCUGGGAGGCCAGAACAAGACUGAUCCAGACCCCUGAACAAGGAUGCCAAUAAGGAGGCCUCUGCACUCCAGGGAGCCUCUGGAAGUGGAUUAGCAUUUUCCCCUGGUGUAAGAAGCGACUUUGAGAGCCCAUCCCACGUGAAGGGAUACACUCUGGCCCUGGACACAUGGGGAAGGGCCCAGGCCCAGCACAGGAAGAUUUGGUGGACUUUGCAGAGCCCCCGUUGAGGGCCCUACCCUGCCUGGG